rnacentral:rRNA from 1 species
GACGAACGCUGGCGGCGUGCUUAACACAUGCAAGUCGAGCGGAAAGGCCCUUCGGGGUACUCGAGCGGCGAACGGGUGAGUAACACGUGAGUAACCUGCCCCAGACUUUGGGAUAACCCUCGGAAACGGGGGCUAAUACCGGAUACGACACAGCUUCGCAUGGGGUCUGUGUGGAAAGUUUUUCGGUUUGGGAUGGGCUCGCGGCCUAUCAGCUUGUUGGUGGGGUGAUGGCCUACCAAGGCGACGACGGGUAGCCGGCCUGAGAGGGCGACCGGCCACACUGGGACUGAGACACGGACCAGACGCCUACGGGAGGCAGAAGUGGGGAAUAUUGCACAAUGGGCGGAAGCCUGAUGCAGCGACGCCGCGUGAGGGAUGACGGCCUUCGGGUUGUAAACCUCUUUCAGCAGGGACGAAGCGUAAGUGACGGUACCUGCAGAAGAAGCGCCGGCCAACUACGUG